AGAGUCUAUAGGUACUUCCUUAUUAUGAGCAUUUGAAAUAACGAUUAAAAAUCAAACCAAAAUUUAUGGAUAUGGUAGGUAAUUGAGAUAAAAAUUACCUCAUCUGCUUCUUAAUAGGUAUUUUAACUUUACUUACCUUUACUCAGAACUUUUAUUGUUUAUGAAUUUAUAAUAGUAUGAUAGUGAAUCCGAUAGUUUUUUUCUACAGCCAAAGUUUAACCAAUACAGGAAAUCAUUAGCUGUUUCUCCGGGAAUACAAUUUAUAGGUACUUGAAAUGAGACUUGAGCGGUCCAUUGGUCUUAUAAGUAUAGUCUAAGAUAUUUUCCAUGCGAGACUCAUUUGUUCACAUCGCUUUCAAUUGUUUCUAUUUUGUUUCUUUCAUUUUUGUCUUCGGUUUUAAGAUACACAAAGUAAAUAUCUACGUAUAAAAAAAAUGAAUUUCGUUAUGGUUUUUCUGAUUUCUGCGUGUUUGGUGGUCGUGACUUCGGAAACAAACGAUUCGCAAGACCAUCGAUAUGUUGAAGAGUGUAAUUUGGAAGAAAAUUUUAGUGAUUUACGUUACACUUUUGAGGAGUUGAAUGCUACCAAUGUACCGAAAGAUAAAUAUCAAGGUUGCAUAUUUGAUUGCUACUAUCGCAAACGGGGCCAGAUCAAGCAGGUUAAAAAUCCUCAAUUUAUCGAAUACACUUUCAAUGCGGAACCUUUGGAAGAAGCUGUUUAUGGGCCUUCGUUCAGAAAUACGAGUACGUCAAAUCGACACCGAAACGUUAUAAAUUAUUGUGUGAAAUAUGUUUUAGGGAUGCACGUUGAGAAAUGUUGGCUAAUGUAUGAUCUUAGAUAUUGCCUUAAUUUGGAAUUACUUUAUAACGCAAUGGAUCAAAAUAAGCCUGGACAUGUAGUUCGUCGCUAGCGUUGGAGUCGAAGGAAGUCGAUUCAAGUCAUUAAAAUGCUCGAUAACAUUUCAUCUGUGUUGUUUAACGAGAUGCUUUCAUAUUUUGGGUAAACAUAGGGUAAAAUAAGAAUUUCGAAUUAAAGGUAUACCUGUAAUAGUCAAUUAAUAAAGUUUAACGAAAUGUUUAAUAGCUCAUUAGUUCAUUCUUCUUUUUCUUUUUUUGAAAAGCAUGAUUUUAAUACUUAUCUAGGCACCUUUAAUUAUUCUAGUUUGAUGGAUAAUUUUUUUUAUCGAGUAUAGUAAAUAGAGUAAUGUUUAUGCGAGACAAAAAUAAAAAUGCAAAUAUUCAAGAUCCAAACAGGUAGUUUAAUUAUCAAAAUUUCGAUUCUUUGUUUUGAAAUUCGGUAGGUAGGUAUAAGUAAUUUUAAUAAAUAAAUAAUCAGCUACAUAGGUAUCUCUAUCUACAUAGUUUUUCAUGUAUUUUUUAACUCGAGGGUGAGAAAAGUAAUAGAAGGCCUUAAACACUUACAUGAUAGGUAUAGGUACAUACCAAUUUAAAACAAGAUUAGAGAAUCUCAAUAGUAAAUUAUAAUGUUCUGAUGAAUGGAAAAAGUGGAUUACGAAUCUAUUUUUAGCAGCAAGUAAGUAGGUAGUGCCCAUGAAAUUAUCAGUUCAUUAGUAUACGGAAAUACUACAUUUAUGUGUCCUUUAUUAGAAAAGCAUUUGAAAUAGAUAAUCUAAAAACAGACUGAAAUUUAUGGACAAUUAAGAUAAAAACUGACGCAUCCGUUUCGUAUUUUUGCUUUUUCUUCUUCUUUUUACGAUUUUUAUCACUUAUUUUGCGAUAAUAAGUUGGAUAAAUGAUCUCUUCGGCCAAAAUCUAUAGCAAAUAGCUAGGUGAGUAAUUACUUAUUACUUUUCGUUGGCGUCGUCGGUUCUUAAAACAAGACUCAAACAGUAGAUUCAUCUGUCUGCGAAAAUACCUUACUAUCUCUCGUAAGACUUGGCGAUUUGUUGUUUUUAUCUAAACCUCACUGUUCUCGUGUAUUUUCACUUUAAUACAUGCGCUUUUGUGUUCGAUGGUAGAACAGUAAAUAUGCAUUCGGUUUCGGUUAUUUUGAUUUCUGCGUAUCUCGUGACCUUGGCUUUGGUUGUCCCGGCAGAGGAGACUGAUUCGCAAGAUGUUCGAUAUGUUGAAGAAUGUAAUUUGGAACAAAACUUUAGCGAUUUCCCCUAUUAUUUAGACGAGCUGUAGAAGUUGUGAAAUGAACGAAAAAAAUUGGGUUAAUAUUCAUAGUUCUUCAACUUAAUCGUCUACUUCUUCAAAAGGUCAAAAUUUGUAAAAUUUAAUGAUGAUUUAUUGAGGUGGAGAGAAACACUUUGGAGAUGUUGAACGCUAGCAUAGUACCAAAAAGCAUAGCAGAAGCUUGCAUCACAGAUUGCUACUUUUUCAAACGGGGUCAGAUCGUUGAGAAAAUCCAUCCAACUUUUGUCCAAUACAUGUUCGCACCUCCACCUUUAGAAGACUCUAUUUAUGGACCUGGAUUCAAAAAUAUGACGAAGGGACAGGCUAAAGCAGUAAAUCAUUGCAUGAAAUUUGUUUCAGACUUGACGCUUGAGAAGUGUUAUCUGAUUUAUGAAUUGAGAUUUUGCCUGUAUAUGGAAUUGUACUACUAGGAAUUCAUGCUCGAUGAUCCAGAUGUUGCUCGAAUCAAGAUUUUUUCCUAUUUAGAGGUGAUUUUUUUUGUUUUGUUUUCGAAAAUGUUGUUGCAUUGUUUUUUUUUGUUUUUAAACAAGUGUAAGAUUUUGUACAGAGUUGUUUUGCUAUUUUGACUUUUUUGAGUUGACUUAAUGUUGGGUGUAACUUUCAGUUUAUGUUUGUAUUUUUUUAAUUUGUAAAACGCACAAACAAUUUUAUUGAAUAUUGUGCAAUAUAAUUUUUGAAUUGAAUCUAGUA